UACGGGGGGGGCGAGCGUUGUUCGGAAUUAUUGGGCGUAAAGGGCGCGUAGGCGGUGUGGUAAGUCUGUUGUGAAACCUCCAGGCUCAACUUGGAGCUUGCAUCAGAAACUGCCGUGCUAGAGUGUGGGAGAGGAGAGUGGAAUUCCUGGUGUAGCGGUGAAAUGCGUAGAUAUCAGGAGGAACACCGGUGGCGAAGGCGGUUCUCUGGGCCUGUUCUGACGCUGAGGAGCGAAAGCGUGGGGAGCGAACAGG
rnacentral:rRNA from 1 species